GACGAACGCUGGCGGCGUGCUUAACACAUGCAAGUCGAACGGAAAGGCCCUGCUUUUGUGGGGUGCUCGAGUGGCGAACGGGUGAGUAACACGUGAGUAACCUGCCCUUGACUUUGGGAUAACUUCAGGAAACUGGGGCUAAUACCGGAUAGGAGCUCCUGCUGCAUGGUGGGGGUUGGAAAGUUUCGGCGGUUGGGGAUGGACUCGCGGCUUAUCAGCUUGUUGGUGGGGUAGUGGCUUACCAAGGCUUUGACGGGUAGCCGGCCUGAGAGGGUGACCGGCCACAUUGGGACUGAGAUACGGCCCAGACUCCUACGGGAGGCAGCAGUGGGGAAUAUUGCACAAUGGGCGGAAGCCUGAUGCAGCAACGCCGCGUGCGGGAUGACGACCUUCGGGUUGUAAACCGCUUUCGCCUGUGAUGAAGCGUGAGUGACGGUAAUGGGUAAAGAAGCACCGGCUAACUACGUG
rnacentral:rRNA from 1 species